GACGAACGCUGGCGGCGUGCUUAACACAUGCAAGUCGAACGGAAAGGCACUUGGGGGUACACGAGUGGCGAACGGGUAAGUAACACGUGGGUGAUCUGCCCUGCACUUCGGGAUAAGCCUGGGAAACUGGGUCUAAUACCGGAGAGGACCACUGCCUGCAAGGGGGGUGGUGGAAAGCUUUUGCGGUGUGGGAUGGGCCCGCGGCCGAUCAGCUUGUUGGUGGGGUGAUGGCCUACCAAGGGGACGAGGGGUAGCCGGCCUGGGAGGGUGACAGGCCAGACUGGGACUGAGCUACGGCCCGGACUCCUACGGAAGGCAGCGGUGGGGAAUAUUGCACAAUGGGCGCAAGCCUGAUGCAGCGACGUCGCGUGAGGGAUGACGGCCUUCGGGUUGUAAACCUCUUUCAGCACCGACGAAGCGCAAGUGACGGUAGGUGCAGAAGAAGGACCGGCCAACUACGUGCCAGCCGCCGCCGUAA
rnacentral:rRNA from 1 species